rnacentral:rRNA from 1 species
GCUGGCGGCGUGCCUAAUACAUGCAAGUCGAACGGUCUUUUCUAUGGAAGCUUGCUUCCACUGAGAAGAUAGUGGCGAACGGGUGAGUAACACGUGGGUAACCUGCCCAUAAGAGGGGGAUAACAUCCGGAAACGGGUGCUAAUACCGCAUAGUUUUCUUGAUCGCAUGAUUGAGAGAGGAAAGACGGCCUUUGUGCUGUCGCUUAUGGAUGGACCCGCGGCGUAUUAGUUAGUUGGUGAGGUAACGGCUCACCAAGACGAUGAUACGUAGCCGACCUGAGAGGGUGAUCGGCCACAUUGGGACUGAGACACGGCCCAAACUCCUACGGGAGGCAGCAGUAGGGAAUCUUCCGCAAUGGACGAAAGUCUGACGGAGCAACGCCGCGUGAGUGAAGAAGGUUUUCGGAUCGUAAAACUCUGUUGUCAGAGAAGAACAAGUUGGAGAGUAACUGCUCCAGCCUUGACGGUAUCUGACCAGAAAGCCACGGCUAACUACGUACCAGCAGCCGCGGUAAUACGUAGGUGGCAAGCGUUGUCCGGAUUUAUUGGGCGUAGAGCGAGCGCAGGCGGUUCCUUAAGUCUGAUGUGAAAGCCCACGGCUCAACCGUGGAAGGUCAUUGGAAACUGGGGAACUUGAGUGCAGAAGAGGAGAGUGGAAUUCCAUGUGUAGCGGUGAAAUGCGUAGAUAUAUGGAGGAACACCAGUGGCGAAGGCGACUCUCUGGUCUGUAACUGACGCUGAGGCUCGAAAGCGUGGGGAGCAAA